rnacentral:tRNA from 1 species
GGGGAUUUAGCUCAGUGGUAGAGCACGUGCCUAGCAAGCACAAGGCCCUGGGUUCGGUCCCCAGCUCA